UACGAGGGGGGCAAGCGUUGUUCGGAAUUAUUGGGCGUAAAGGGCGCGUAGGCGGUGCGGUAAGUCUGAUGUGAAAUCUCCGGGCUCAACUCGGAGUCUGCAUCAGAAACUGCCGUGCUCGAGUGUGGGAGAGGUGAGUGGAAUUCCCGGUGUAGCGGUGAAAUGCGUAGAUAUCAGGAGGAACACCUGUGGCGAAAGCGGCGCACUGGACCACAACUGACGCUGAGGCGCGAAAGCGUGGGGAGCAAACAGG
rnacentral:rRNA from 1 species